AAUAUUGGACAAUGGGCGAAAGCCUGAUCCAGCCACGCCGCGUGUGUGAAGAAGGUCUUCGGAUUGUAAAGCACUCUAAGUUGGGAGGAAGAGUUGUAGGCUAAUACCUUGCAUUUUUGCCGUUACCAACAAAAUAGACACCGGCUAACUUCGUGCCAGCAGCCGCGGUAAUACGAAGGGUGCAAGCGGUAAUCGGAAUUACUGGGCGUAAAGCGCGCGUAGGUGGUUCGUUGAGUUGGAAGUGAAAGCCCCAGGCUUAACCUGGGAAUUACUUUAAAAACUGACGAGCUAGAGUACGGUAGAAGGUAGUGGAAUUUCCUGUGUAGCGGUGAAAUGCGUAGAUAUAGGAAGGAACAUCAGUGGCGAAGGCGACUACCUGGACUGAUACUGACACUGAGGUGCGAAAGCGUGGGGAGCAAACAGG
rnacentral:rRNA from 1 species